AGUGAACGCUGGCGGUAGGCCUAGCACAUGCAAGUCGAACGGCAGCACAGUAAGAGCUUGCUCUUACGGGUGGCGAGUGGCGGACGGGUGAGGAAUACAUCGGAAUCUACUUUUUCGUGGAGGAUAACGUAGGGAAACUUACGCUAAUACCGCAUACGACCUACGGGUGAAAGCAGGGGAUCUUCGGACCUUGCGCGAUUGAAUGAGCCGAUGUCGGAUUAGCUAGUUGGCGGGGUAAAGGCCCACCAAGGCGACGAUCCGUAGCUGGUCUGAGAGGAUGAUCAGCCACACUGGAACUGAGACACGGUCCAGACUCCUACGGGAGGCAGCAGUGGGGAAUAUUGGACAAUGGGCGCAAGCCUGAUCCAGCCAUACCGCGUGGGUGAAGAAGGCCUUCGGGUUGUAAAGCCCUUUUGUUGGGAAAGAAAAGCAGCAGGUUAAUACCCCGCUGUUCUGACGGUACCCAAAGAAUAAGCACCGGCUAACUUCGUG
rnacentral:rRNA from 1 species